GAUGAACGCUGGCGGCGUGCCUAAUACAUGCAAGUCGAGCGAACAGACGAGGAGCUUGCUCCUCUGACGUUAGCGGCGGACGGGUGAGUAACACGUGGAUAACCUACCUAUAAGACUGGUAUCACUUCGGGAAACCGGAGCUAAUACCGGAUAAUAUAUUGAACCGCAUGGUUCAAUAGUGAAUGACGGUUUUGCUGUCACUUAUCGAUGGAUCCGCGCCGCAUUAGCUAGUUGGUAAGGUAACGGCUUACCAAGGCAACGAUGCGUAGCCGACCUGAGAGGGUGAUAGGCCACACUGGAACGUAGACACGGUCAAGACUCCUAAGAGAGGCAGCAGUAGGGAAUCGUCCGCAAUGGGCGAAAGCCUGACGGAGCAACGCCGAGUGAGUGAUGAAGGUCUUCGGAUCGUAAAACUCUGUUAUUAGGGAAGAACAAAUGUGUAAGUAACUAUGCACGUCUUGACGGUACCUAAUCAGAAAGCCACGGCUAACUACGUG
rnacentral:rRNA from 1 species